rnacentral:misc_RNA from 1 species
CACCCCUCAAGCCUUGCUUGGUGUUGGAGCACUACCGCUUUUUCAUAAGUGGUAGGCUCUGAAAUUCAGUGGCGGGCUCGCUAAGACUCUGAGCGUAGUAGUUUAUCACCUCGCUUUGGAAGGAUUAGCGGUGCUCUUGCCGUAAAACCCCCCAAAUUUCUGAA